GUAACAGGUGAACCCAGCAUGAGGUACAAGGGGCAGCAAAGACAGACGCAUCUGAAGGUGGCAUUUGUCCAGGCAUCUUCUAAUGCUGUCUGCCAUCACAUCUUUCCUGGCGCUAGUGCUGGCCACAGAACGUUUUCCCUGCGCGUGGGGUGGUUCAGAAGGUGAUGUCUCAGCCUCUCUUCACAGUGCGUGGAGGUUAGGCCGGACUCAUGGCUCCCAUGCAUUCUCACUAUUUCAUUACGUUAUCUUGGAAGUUAAAUAAAGAUGUAACGUUGCGCUGAAAUCCCUUUCCCCAG
rnacentral:lncRNA from 1 species